rnacentral:ncRNA from 1 species
AAUAAAUAUUGGUAAAUAAUGGAAACAUUAUGACGCAAAGCUAAAGGGUCUUAAAUGACAGCCAGCUGCAGUA